AUCGGCACGCUGGGAGAAGUGUGGCCAUGACGCUAAUCCAACAGUGGACCUGCAGGAGCAGCGGCUGUCGAGCAUCAGUCAAUGUUUUGCACACAGGUUCUCCUGAGUGGCACUCCGUCUCCACCAGGAUGCUGUUACUGCUCCUGUAUCACCAAAGCCGAUGCCCUAAAGAUCAGAGCUGCAGACACAAAGGAAGGCCAAUGCAUGAGAAGAAAUCAGUGGGAAAGGGAGUAAGAAUCGCAGUCCCACCUUGACGGCACUCUCAGGCAAGAGGCCGUCUCUUUCCGACGCUGUCAGGAGCACAGAGAGACUUGGGCAUAGGGUCAUUCAAAUGGCCUGAUACCAGAAAAGGGGGAAAGAUGUGCUUUCUUCAAGGAAAUGACUCCUCAGAGCACCCAGGAAGAGAAAGAUGAGAGAAGAAGGUCAGAAUCAAAGAAAUCAAAUCUGUUAUUAGGUCCAGAAGAAGAGCUCCUGACAACAGAAUCUGAUAUCAAAGGAUGAGAAACUGGGUUAAUGGUGACCAGAGCAAGAAGCAAGAAACAGAAACAAGAAGGAAAUAAGAGUGUCCAGCAUUCUCAGAGGUUCCCUUUCAUGGGUAAAACUUGCUUGGUGCUUGCACGCCUAAUUUUAAAGCCAGAGGAGCCAGUUUUCUCACAUUUAUAAUGUAAAUGUUAUAAUAUUUUUCCUCGUGAUUAGAUUUCAGGUAACCCUGAAAAGGUAGUCAGGAAUUAGUGUCUUUCUUUUCUCCUUCCUAAUAACAUGAUUUUCUCACUAUUUGUUUUACUGGAUUAAGUUUUCUAAACUUAGCAAAACCAAGAAACUUCUAGUUCAGAUUUCACUUAACGUUUUCUUUUAAUUCAACCAUCAGAGCAAUUUCCAAGAAGCAUAAUCUGACUUAAUGAUAUUGUAAUAGUUAGCAAAGUAUCUAGAUAUUAGGCACAGAAAACAGGCUCAUUGAAUAAGCAAAUGAACUUGCGACUAUAUCAGGUUUUAAGUGACUUAAAUGGUAGUCAGAGAUUUGGCUUCAUUAGGCAGAUACAGCACUUAUGUGCUACAUAGCUCUUGCUUUUAUGUGUAAGUCUGCUGAAUCAACAAAUGUGCUGAAGAAGAGAAUAAAUAUAUUGAAAUAAA